rnacentral:rRNA from 1 species
GUAAUACGUGAGUAACCUGCCCUUGACUCUGGGAUAAGCCUGGGAAACUGGGUCUAAUACUGGAUACUACCGUCCACCGCAUGGUGGGUGGUGGAAAGGGUUUUACUGGUUUUGGAUGGGCUCACGGCCUAUCAGCUUGUUGGUGGGGUAAUGGCUCACCAAGGCGACGACGGGUAGCCGGCCUGAGAGGGUGACCGGCCACACUGGGACUGAGACACGGCCCAGACUCCUACGGGAGGCAGCAGUGGGGAAUAUUGCACAAUGGGCGGAAGCCUGAUGCAGCGACGCCGCGUGAGGGAUGACGGCCUUCGGGUUGUAAACCUCUUUCAGUAGGGAAGAAGCGAGAGUGACGGUACCUGCAGAAGAAGCGCCGGCUAACUACGUGCCAGCAGCCGCGGUAAUACGUAGGGCGCAAGCGUUGUCCGGAAUUAUUGGGCGUAAAGAGCUCGUAGGCGGUUUGUCGCGUCUGCUGUGAAAGCCCGGGGCUCAACCCCGGGUCUGCAGU